UACGUAGGGUGCAAGCGUUGUCCGGAAUUAUUGGGCGUAAAGAGCUCGUAGGCGGUCUGUCACGUCGGCUGUGAAAUCCCGAGGCUCAACCUCGGGUCUGCAGUCGAUACGGGCAAACUAGAGUGUUGCAGGGGAGACUGGAAUUCCUGGUGUAGCGGUGAAAUGCGCAGAUAUCAGGAGGAACACCGGUGGCGAAGGCGGGUCUCUGGGCCGAUACUGACGCUGAGGAGCGAAAGCGUGGGGAGCGAACAGG
rnacentral:rRNA from 1 species